AGGAUAAACGCUGGCGGCGUGCAUGAGACAUGCAAGUCGAACGGACGAUCAGGGCUUGCUCUGAUCGUUAGUGGCGGACGGCUGAGUAACGCGUAGGUGACCUGCCCCGAAGUGGGGAAUAACUGCCCGAAAGGGUGGCUAAUACCGCAUGUGGUGGUGUGUUCAUUCACACCAGUAAAGCCGCAAGGCGCUUCGGGAGGGGCCUGCGCCCGAUUAGCUCGUUGGUGGGUAACGGCUCACCAAGGCGACGAUCGGUAGGUGGUCUGAGAGGACGAUCACCCAGACUGGGGACUGAGACACGGCCCAGACUCCUACGGGAGGCAGCAGUCGGGAAUUUUGCGCAAUGGACGAAAGUCUGACGCAGCAACGCCGCGUGAGGGAUGAAGGCCUUCGGGUUGUAAACCUCUUUUAUCUAGGGAAGAUAAUGACGGUACCUGAUGAAUAAGUCACGGCUAACUACGUGCCAGCAGCCGC
rnacentral:rRNA from 1 species